UACGUAGGGUGCAAGCGUUAUCCGGAUUCACUGGGUUUAAAGGGUGCGUAGGUGGGCAGGUAAGUCAGUGGUGAAAUCUCCGGGCUUAACUCGGAAACUGCCAUUGAUACUAUCUGUCUUGAAUACCGUGGAGGUCAGCGGAAUAUGUCAUGUAGCGGUGAAAUGCUUAGAUAUGACAUAGAACACCAAUUGCGAAGGCAGCUGGCUACACGAAUAUUGACACUGAUGCACGAAAGCGUGGGGAUCAAACAGG
rnacentral:rRNA from 1 species